GCUCUGACCAGCCAUGUCGCGUGCAGGAUGACUGCCCUAUGGGUUGUAAACUGCUUUUAUACGGGAAGAAAGGUAUCUACGUGUAGAUAUUUGCCGGUACCGUACGAAUAAGCAUCGGCUAACUCCGUGCCAGCAGCCGCGGUAAUACGGAGGAUGCGAGCGUUAUCCGGAUUUAUUGGGUUUAAAGGGUGCGUAGGCGGAAUGGUAAGUCAGCGGUGAAAUACUGCAGCUCAACUGAAGAACUGCCGUUGAUACUGUCAUUCUUGAGUAUAGAUGAGGUAGGCGGAAUGAGUAGUGUAGCGGUGAAAUGCAUAGAUAUUACUCAGAACACCAAUUGCGAAGGCAGCUUACUAAACUAUAACUGACGCUGAAGCACGAAAGCGUGGGUAUCAAACAGGAUUAGAUACCCUGGUAGUCCACGCCGUAAACUAUGAUUACUGGUUGUUUGCGAUACACAGUAAGCGACUGAGCGAAAGCAUUAAGUAAUCCACCUGGGGAGUACGUUGGCAACAAUGAAACUCAAAGGAAUUGACGGGGGCCCGCACAAGCGGUGGAACAUGUGGUUUAAUUCGAUGAUACGCGAGGAACCUUACCUGGGCUUAAAUGGGGAGUGACGGAUGUGGAAACAUGUCUUUCUUCGGACACUCUUCAAGGUGCUGCAUGGUUGUCGUCAGCUCGUGCCGUGAGGUGUCGGGUUAAGUCCCAUAACGAGCGCAACCCCUGUUGUCAGUUACCAGCAUGUAAAGAUGGGGACUCUGACAAGACUGCCGGUGUAAACCGCGAGGAAGGUGGGGAUGACGUCAAAUCAGCACGGCCCUUACGUCCAGGGCUACACACGUGUUACAAUGUCCAGUACAAAGGGCAGCUACACAGCAAUGUGAUGCUAAUCUC
rnacentral:rRNA from 1 species